GGCGGGGGCGGCGAGCGCGCGUCCCCCCGCCCGCUCAGGCAGCGUCGAGGCGCGAGCAGCUCAGCCAGCCUUGCAGAGGGAGCUCUCGGCAGCUCUGGGGUCCCUCUGCUCGCAGCCGCAGCAGCGCCGCCUGCGCCACUCGGCGGAGACGGAGACCAGCGGCGGCGGCGCGCGGACUGGGAGCGACCGCUGAGCAGCCGACCGGCAGGGGUAUGCUUGCAGAGCGGCCGGGAAGCACCUGCGGAUUCUACCCAACCAGCGAUGAAGUUCACCGACCACAGACUGGAAGAUGUUCUGGUGACCCAGAGAGGAGAGCCUUUGGUACUUAGGGGAAUCUGACUCGGGACUGUAUUGUGAACUCCCAUACCUUAGAUGUCACGGACAACAAACGGACCCAGCAUCAAGGAGACAGUUUUUGCUCCAUUCAGCUGAUUGUUCUAUUAUGAGGAUGCCAGUCCAAUAUUGACAUUUUCUCGGGGUUUUGUUGAAAAAGGGAAUCAGAAAUCUAGAUUUUUGUAAUGUAAAAUCUUCAGGUAUUUAGGUGUUAGCAACUCAGGUGUUUUUAAACUAUAUGAGCUGAUUAAACCAUAUAUAUGUGUGUGGGCUAUCACUUGGAGGAAAGAGUGAAGAGAAAUUCCAAGGCCAGAUCCUAGACACUCCAGCAUUUAGGAAUAGGAUAAUGGAGAAGGAAACUAAAAGGGGGCAGCCAGGAAGACAGAAAAAAAUCCACAAGCAUGUUGAAUUUGGAAUCCAUGGGCAGAGAAGGUUUCCGUAGGGGGGAGUGGUCAACUGUGUCUAAUGCUGCUGAGAGGUCAACUUGGGCCAGAGACAUGGCUUUUGGAUUGGUCACCUUGGAAUUCAAUGGAGAAUAUCAUUGGCAAAUUUGGCUUGAUUCAUGUUGGUAAAUCGAGACUUGGACCUCACUAGAAUGGGUUGAGAAUGAAUGGAAAAGUAAGGAAAUAGAGACAGCACACGUAGGCAACAUGAGAAGUUUUGCUGUGAAGGGAGCAAAGAAAUUUAGAGAUAACUGGAAAGAUACGGGCUCAAGGGAGGAGAUGUUUUAAAAAAUGGUAGGGUUCUGGAGCAUGUUUAUGUGCCAUUGGGAGUGAUAUAGGAGAGAGAAGGCUUGCUUGACCUAUAUAGGAGUGAAAUCCAUGAGAGGAUAUAAGGAAACUAGGAGGACUAACCUUGGAUAGGAACAGGAUGCUUCCAUUGUGAUAAUGGGUAAUAAAGGUGAAGAUCAAUGCAAAUGCUGGUGAGGAUAGGGGGAGCAAGCGUACAACUUUCCUAGUAGGACUGCCUUGGCAGCAUUGGGUACCCAUUUGAAGUUUGUGAUCAUGAAUUUAAAGUUAAACCAGUUGGCCUAGUAUGUUUUUUUCCAGCAAUAUUCAGCUGCUUAGGUACAGACAUGCAGGAAAGAGAUAAUUUGGUUUCUCAACACCAGGGCCCAAGUUUUCUGGUUCCUAAUCUCAGGUACUUGCCUUAUUAAUCACCUACUUAAUAUUCUAGAAAUGUGUGAAUAUUUGAAAAAUUUACAUGUGACCCCUUUUUAUAGAAACCAAAUGAUUCCCUUUGUCUCUUAUGUAUACCCGAGGACUCAAAAAUAAAGGCAAACUUAGUGGAAAUUACCAGAUA